UCUUGCUUGAUUCCAUACUUCUAGCGAUGAAUGAAUGACUGGAAUGAGGACACUACAUACACUGCUUAGUCACGUCGUUUACUAGGUUUUAGUGUUACUGUAGACUGUAGACUGUGUAUGUAGUGUCAGCUGUAUUACUUGACAGCUAGCUAUCGAGGUUUUUUUUAAAACUAAAUUGUCUGUCUUGUUACCCUGUUUGUCUCUUGAUGAGUUUGAGAGGUUGAGCGUCGCUGCGUGGAUGUGCUCGGCUUCCCAUGACUCAUUCAACAUUCAUGCUCAUCCGCUGGGCAGAGAACAGCGCAAGAAAGAACAGAGAGAGAGAGAGAACAGCGCAAGAAAUUAUUAUAAAAUGAUUGUGUCGGAACUGCAGCUGGCUUUCCAGCGCUUUGGAGAAGGAGAUGAGGAUUCAAAGUUUGCUACUCUGGAGGAAAGACUUGAAUGCACGCUACAUUGCCGAGUUUUGGAGUAAGCCUGCCACAAAUGUAGAGGAGCGCACGAGAGAAAGUUGUUAUCCUGGCAGGUGGAAUGCGACUGAACCAGUGCAAUGGGCGACACAUCGUGCGUCCGGAGGGCGGGCAAUGAGACUUGCAUCAGCUUGAAAUCGCUCACUCUUUUCUGUCAAUUGCCCGAUGUACCAAUAGAGGUUCACACGGGUCAAAUGGGGAUGACAGACCUCCACAUCAAGAGGAUACAGAUGUGGAACAAACUCACCACAUGUCAGGAAUGUCGGUUUUGCAAGAGCACGGAGCAACGUCUACUCAGCACCCAUCGUGAUGUCUGUACUAAGAGGCAAUGCAAGGCGAGGCGAGACUCACCGCCGAGAUCUGCUAAUGCGACAGGCUCGGUUGCCAUUCAAGAUUCACACCGCCCUGUCCGCCCGUCGACGGGAUCAACAGCGGGAUUGAUCAAACUGAGCUGCCGAUAUGAAACGUCCAUGUAGAACGUCAACCAAGCAGCCCUGACUGGAGUGAAUGCCCCGUCUGGCCUCUCGUUUGUCAGCGACUCACUGACUCACUGAUGUGGUGAACUAGCGGCCGCUGUAGCCACUGUACCGUACUGGUUUCCACUCCAAUGCACACCCACACACUGCACAUACAGUGAAAUCUGUCUAAGACGACCGCUCAAGGGACCAUCAAAAUGUGGUCUCUGUUACCAGGUGGUCUGCCUAUCCAGGGUAAUUUGACUGGAAGUAGCAUCCCUUGGUCCUGGUUGCAGUGGUCUUCUGCGACAGGUGGUCGCCUUAUCCGAGUGGUCGCCAUGACAGGUUUAACUGUAUACAUGAUUGUACAAGGCAUAUCCAAUGACCUGUUGCUACGGCGCUAUGAGUACACCUAUUUCUCCUUGUACAUAAUUAUUAUUAUUUAAAAGGUUUUAAAACUCAGCCAGAGUUGCAGCAAACUACGUUGUGAAGCCUUUACUUGUUUUGGUCCACCGUUGAUUGCUGUACAUGUGCAGUAUCUGUCAUGCUUCAAGUGUCAUGACUCAUGUAUUACUAGUAUGUACAUGUAUGUGACUGUAAUUAUUUAUAGAAUCAGAUUAUGAAGCAAAACAAGAGCCUGCGGUGUCGACUGGGCCGACCCAGGACAACUCUUCUCUCAGCUCUUUCCCAGGACUGCCUAGCCCGACUCGGCAUUCGCCUGGGUGCGCUCAUAGGCCUUAAUCAGCUGCGGCAGUUGGCAGAGGAUAAGCACGGUGGAAUGGCACCCCGCGGCACUCAUCUUCCUCUCCCGCAUAAUAUCCACUGCAGGGUGACCAUCAAUAUUAAACAGUCUACCGUCUUUCUGAUAUUGCCACUCGCACUUGACCAUAGAAGCAGCUUUCCAGUGUGCAGUUACAUUGAGCCAUGGUGUGUGCUUGUUUGUUUUUGUGAAUCCUUCCCAGAAGCAAAUGCUGGUUUUUAUACAUCGUUUACUCAGCUUUUAAAUAUUUGCAAUAACUUGGGAAUAGCUAAACUAAACAAUAAUGCUUGGUUUGACCACUACAGUCUACACUGUACAUCUACAGUGUACAUCUACAGUGUAGACUGUAGAUAACUGGUACUAAUAGGCGAUAGUGCACAGGUGGUGGGAU